rfam:Cavia porcellus supercont2_108 genomic scaffold, whole genome shotgun sequence.
AUCCUUUGUGGGUUGUAAGUGCUGGAUGUUCAAAUUCUUUCUAUGAGAUGCGCCUUCCUCAGGUCUUGUCAUGACACUGGCAUGUGACCCACCUGAUG